UACAGAGGGUGCGAGCGUUAAUCGGAAUUACUGGGCGUAAAGGGCGCGUAGGCGGCCUUCUAAGUCAGACGUGAAAUCCCCCGGCUUAACCUGGGAACUGCGUCUGAUACUGGGAGGCUAGAGUGCGGGAGAGGGAUGCGGAAUUCCAGGUGUAGCGGUGAAAUGCGUAGAUAUCUGGAGGAACACCGGUGGCGAAGGCGGCAUCCUGGACCGACACUGACGCUGAGGCACGAAAGCUAGGGUAGCAAACGGG
rnacentral:rRNA from 1 species